GAUGAACGCUGGCGGCGUGCCUAAUACAUGCAAGUCGAGCGAACAGACGAGGAGCUUGCUCCUCUGACGUUAGCGGCGGACGGGUGAGUAACACGUGGAUAACCUACCUAUAAGACUGGGAUAACUUCGGGAAACCGGAGCUAAUACCGGAUAAUAUAUUGAACCUCAUGGUUCAAUAGUGAAAGACGGUUUUGCUGUCACUUAUAGAUGGAUCCGCGCCGCAUUAGCUAGUUGGUAAGGUAACGGCUUACCAAGGCGACGAUGCGUAGCCGACCUGAGAGGGUGAUCGGCCACACGAGAACUGGGACACGGUCCAGACGACUACGGGAGGCAGCAGUAGGGAAUCUUCCGCAAUGGGCGAAAGCCUGACGGAGCAACGCCGCGUGAGUGAUGAAGGUCUUCGGAUCGUAAAACUCUGUUAUUAGGGAAGAACAAAUGUGUAAGUAACUAUGCACGUCUUGACGGUACCUAAUCAGAAAGCCACGGCUAACUACGUG
rnacentral:rRNA from 1 species